UACAGAGGUCUCAAGCGUUGUUCGGAUUUAUUGGGCGUAAAGGGUGCGUAGGCGGCGCGCUAAGUCAGGUGUGAAAUUUCGGAGCUUAACUCCGAAACUGCAUUUGAUACUGCCGUGCUUGAGGACUGGAGAGGAGACUGGAAUUUACGGUGUAGCGGUGAAAUGCGUAGAUAUCGUAAGGAAGACCAGUGGCGAAGGCGGGUCUCUGGACAGUUCCUGACGCUGAGGCACGAAGGCCAGGGGAGCAAACGGG
rnacentral:rRNA from 1 species